rnacentral:tRNA from 1 species
GCCCCCGUAGCUCAACUGGAUAGAGCAACGCCCUUCUAAGGCGUAGGUUGUGCGUUCAAGUCGCACCGGGGGUA